rnacentral:lncRNA from 1 species
GGUUCAGAGAAGAACCUGAGGGUGGGAGGGUUUGUCCUUCAAACAGUUUACAGCCAAUGGGAGCUUGGAGGGGGGGGGCGAGAGCGGGAGAGGGCCCCUCAUAUGGGGGAGGGGAAUGGCCAACCUCAUGCCUCCAUACCAGUUGGAGGGCAAAGGGGCGUGGGGGCGGUGUGUCCCCCGCAAACCAUUCGUCCCCUGGGGGUAGAGGAGUCCAGAGCCAGGUGAGGCUUCCUUUUGACGGCCGGAGGGAGGGGUGACCUAGUGGGCUGAGGUGUGGGAGUGGUGAAUGUAUUUCCUACUCUUGGGAUGUGAGUGGGCAACCCGGGUUGUGAACUGAGAUUGUUUCCGGGCGCCCACUCCCUUUCUCUCCAGAGACUCUGGAAGGAGCAUUUCUGUGCUUUUGUGUCAGCGGUAGGAAGCUCGCAGUCAUCACAUGGCAUGCUGGAGGUUACGCUUCGAGUCGCUUAUCGAAUUUGUGUGCAUUCACGUGGACACGGCCUGUGGAGCCUUCUGCACAAACCUUCGUUGCCUCGAUAUGCAGUCUGUUUUCUAUCUUGGUAUCCAGAGAAGGGGAGAUGGAGGGAGAGGGAGACCUCCCGCUCCAGCCCAGGUUGGGGAUAAUUCACUCCCAUAAGGGGACGAGGGUGGGUGGGCCCAGACAUGGCUUGAGAGAUCUUGGCCUCAUUGUAAUUCUGGCUCUUUAUUCCUAAGUAGUCUAACCUUAUUCAGGUAACUAGAGUGUGGGGAAGACUUGGUGGGUGGGUUGGGGGAGGGGGCGAGACUGAGCUCCCAAAAUGGCUCCUGCCCCUCCUCGGAGGCGGACGGCCCAGGGGGGAGGGGAGGAGGGGAGAGAAAGAGGGGGAGGGCUAGUCUGAGCCGCUGCCGCCGCCUCCUCCGCUCGCCCUCCUCCCUGGCGCUGACCGAUGGACCAGCCGCUCCGUGGGGAGGACUCCGGACCCUGGUGGGGGGAUGGGGGAGCCCUGCCGCCCCCAUGGCGGUGGGACCCUAAUAGGGGGGUGUGGGCCUGCCCUCGGGGUUGGGGAGGGCCGGGAGCUUGGGGAAAGGUCUGAGCUCGCCAGGAGGGGGAGGGUGUUCACCCUGAUUCGCCCCUCACAGGACUUGCUUUUUCCGCUCUGAGCCAGGCACCGGAAUGAAGUUUAGGGAGGAGGUGGGUUUCGAUUUCUAGAGUAUAUCGGUAUGUUUGGAGCUGUUUCUCCCACUAAGGGCUGCCGGGAUUUUGUCGAGCAGGCAGAUACUUAAUAGUUAACUGAAGGUAUGAGCAGGGAGGGAUUGGAGAGGUGCUUGGGUGCAAGUUUUGGGAACGUGUUCUAGAUUUGGUUGUGUUGAUAAGCCUUUGGGAGCCCAGAUUGUUAGUGUUUUGCCUUUGUUUUUCGAUUUUUUGAACUGGGGAAAGACGGGGAGGCUUUUAAUAAUGCGGCAGGCCUGUAUUUUUGAUUGUGGAGUAUGGGAACGGUAGAUCCCUUCUUUGUUACUUCUGGGAACCCUUAGUUAUUUGCCAGAGA